rnacentral:rRNA from 1 species
ACGCUCGACACCUACGGAAGGCAGCAGUGGGGAAUAUUGCACAAUGGGGGAAACCCUGAUGCAGCGACGCCGCGUGAGCGAAGAAGUAUUUCGGUAUGUAAAGCUCUAUCAGCAGGGAAGAAACUGACGGUACCUGACUAAGAAGCACCGGCUAAAUACGUGCCAGUAGCCGCGGUAAUCUGAGCGGGCUGGCAAGGC